UACGUAGGGUGCGAGCGUUAAUCGGAAUUACUGGGCGUAAAGCGUGCGCAGGCGGUGAUGUAAGACAGGUGUGAAAUCCCCGGGCUUAACCUGGGAACUGCAUUUGUGACUGCAUCGCUGGAGUGCGGCAGAGGGGGAUGGAAUUCCGCGUGUAGCAGUGAAAUGCGUAGAUAUGCGGAGGAACACCGAUGGCGAAGGCAGUCCCCUGGGCCUGUACUGACGCUCAUGCACGAAAGCGUGGGGAGCAAACAGG
rnacentral:rRNA from 1 species